AGUGGCGAACGGGUGAGUAACACGUGAGUAACCUGCCCUUGACUCUGGGAUAACUGCUAGAAAUGGUAGCUAAUACCGGAUACGACCCUCGGCGGCAUCGCCAGGGGGUGGAAAGAAUUUCGGUCAAGGAUGGACUCGCGGCCUAUCAGCUAGUUGGUGAGGUAACGGCUCACCAAGGCGACGACGGGUAGCCGGCCUGAGAGGGUGACCGGCCACACUGGGACUGAGACACGGCCCAGACUCCUACGGGAGGCAGCAGUGGGGGAUACUGCACAAUGGGCGCAAGCCUGAUGCAGCAACGCCGCGUGAGGGAUGACGGCCUUCGGGUUGUAAACCUCUUUUAGUAGGGAAGAAGCGAAAGUGACGGUACCUGCAGAAAAAGCACCGGCUAACUACGUGCCAGCAGCCGCGGUAAUACGUAGGGUGCAAGCGUUGUCCGGAAUUAUUGGGCGUAAAGAGCUCGUAGGCGGUUUGUCGCGUCUGCUGUGAAAUCCCGAGGCUCAACCUCGGGCCUGCAGUGGGUACGGGCAAACUAGAGUGUGGUAGGGGAGAUUGGAACUCCUGGUGUAGCGGUGGAAUGCGCAGAUAUCAGGAAGAACACCGAUGGCGAAGGCAGAUCUCUGGGCCAUUACUGACGCUGAGGAGCGAAAGCGUGGGGAGCGAACAGGAUUAGAUACCCUGGUAGUCCACGCCGUAAACG
rnacentral:rRNA from 1 species